GGUGUUCUUCCGCUGCAUGAGCACGGAUACACGCCAAUCAGCUGUUUGUACCUCAUGGUCACAUUCUGCAGGUGACGUCUGCCAGAUAUGCAGGUGGCGUCUGCCAGAUAUGCAGACAGUUUCAAUUGACAGCAUUGUCACCAAGAGGACAAAAAACACCUUCUCUGGGGGUUAAUAGAGGCCAACUUCGGUGUCAGGGACGUUUAUUUUCAGCAGCAAAUCACAGUGCAGAAAAGAAAAGAUGAGAAAAGAACAAAUGAGCGAGCUGCCAAUCUGCUGAGCUGAUUCUGUCGGGGCCUCAGGUUGCUGAUUAAUGAAAUGUGGGAGGACAAAAAGACGGCUGUGAGUGCUGCCACAGCCUACCCACAAUCCCUCACUGCUUUUUCUGAUUGGGCUAAUCACCCUAUUGUCCCUCAGCACUUUGAGUCUGGGAUUUUAAAAAACGAGAGACGGAAGAAAUCGCGCUGAAAAAAGUGAAUUUCCCUUUUUAUCCCCUCCACCAUCUCUCCUUUUUUCCCUCUACCACAUCAAACCCUGCACCAUUACCUCCAGUUUUUCCAUAACGCCUCAUGUGUCAUCCAUCUAGCUCACUUUAAUGGCAGCCUCAUAAUUAUUUAGAUGAUUAUGUGUUGCAAGCCAUUUAGCAUGCUCAAUGACACAUGUUUAAUUUAUUUGCUGCCGCAGCUUCUCAUGAAGGAAAGAAUUGAAGAUGGCGGUGAUGUUUUCUGCUGGUAGUGAAGCAAAUCAGUGCUAAAAAUUGUUUGAUAAAUUGCAGCUGUUGAUAUAAUAUGCUAUGCCACAUCAAAGAGCUAAUGUGAUACAAAUAAGGUGUGUUUUGUGUAGCAUUGCAAGGCAGCGUUUGCUUGGGCUAAUGGUGUGUGUCUUGGUUGACCAGUGAACCCGCAGAACAGGACGCACCAUUGAGCAAGCUAUUAGGACAUGAUAAUGGGAGAAGCUGCAGGAUGCUGCAUGUAUCCUCCUCUCCUUCAGGGUUUUUCUUUGCAGCUCAAGCUGAAAGGAAACAGAAAAACACACAGAUUACUCUCAAAAAAGCAAGAAAAAAGUGCAUCUUAGGUAGGUUAUGGUUGUUGGUAGAGUACCAAAAAUAUAUUUUUUGGCUUUGAAAAAAAACAUGAAAAUAAGGGAAUAUUUUGAGGACAGUUUGUGAGAAGACAGACAGACCUUAGAUUUUGUACAUGCAGUAGCAUUAGGUAACCACUAGAGAGCAGUAUAAUCCCAUUGAACUGCAACAGAUGUUUUUCCUCUAAUCUCAGAAAGGCUUUUUCGCCGUCAAAAGAUGCAAAGCGUCUGUAUAAUUUAAUAAUUAAUACCAUGCUGGUUUAUUAUUUGUCUGAUUAACUUCAUAAAAAGUUACAUGCAAAAGUGUGAAUGAAUAAGAAUUUUAUUUUAUUUAGUUAUUUAGUUUGUAGCUAUUUUUCCAACUCUCACCCCUACUUGGGCUUUUGAGCAUGCAACUAGUUAAAAUAUAGUCUAUAGGGUCAUACACUUUAUAAUAAAGAUAUGAAAAUACAAAAAAAAAAUGCAGGUUUAACAAAUACCCAUUGUUUACUAAAGCAGGAAUGAGCUAAAAAAGAAAAAAAGGACAGAGUUGUGGUUCACUGUAUGCCAGCUCUUUAAGAUUCUAUAUUUUUAUAUCAUUCAAUAAUUUGUGUAUAGUUGGUUAUGUGUCCAGGAGUUGGCAGCCCUUAACUGGAAAAAGCUUAAUCUCAAAAUUUAGACUGAAGUUAUAGCUUACAAAUACAAAAAAAGAGGAUUCCAAUCUCCCCCAGUUUUUUUUGUUUUUUUACUGUUUUAGACAUUUGCUGUACAUGCUUGUAUUGAAAGCCCCCCUUCACUUACACAUUGAUGAUUUACUUUGUAGAACUACAUGUGCAAUGUUUGAUAGUAAAACACUUUUUUUUCUCUUUUAUUUCUUUUUACAAAGUGUGGAGUCUUUUUUAUGUUAUAAUAAAAAUGUGUUUUUGUGACAUAAUUUCCAAGUUAA